rnacentral:lncRNA from 1 species
AAUAAUACGAAUUACUUCUUGAUAUUGUAUUUACAAUAAUGUUUUUCUAAGAGAUUUAUGUUGGUCAAAUCCAAAUAAGAUAAUAACUAAGAGAUUGAUUCCUCUUGAACCCUAAUCUCUUUAGUUUUUGUUUUAUUUUUUCUCUUUAUCUCUCCUUCGUUACUCUUUCACGUCAUUCCAACAAUACCAUACAGAGCAUUAUGUUAAACAAAUCUAACUUUACCUCUGUUUUUCUCACAUUUUUCUUCUCUUCUUUUCUCACCUACAUAUUUUUCUUGUUAUACUUCCUUCCUUAAUAAAACACGUUUUCUUUAGUUGUCUUGUUCCCUCGUUCUCUCUCUGCU